AAUUGAAUAUUGACGAUUAAUAAGAAUCUUCUGCACUGACAGAGAUUAGAUUCAGAUGUUACGGCGAGUGACAGGUGCUCUUGAUUAGAGAAAGAUCAGAGGGUGCUAAUGAUGCACAUAAAAUAUCUGAUAAAAUGUCCUGCAAGAAAAUAGUGCCUACUGCAUCAGGAGAUGGCUCUACAAUAGUUGCUGAUACCUUGAAAUAAUACUUAGAGAUGAUAUAGAUAUGCCAGAUAUGUUCUCUUACUUUCUUAUACUACUUAGACCUUAGGGAGCUGCUCUAUUAUUAGCUAAAGAAAUAGAUUAGGAGAAGCUUAUUUUUCUGUUGUUGCAUGUCUAUGUCUCAGUUAUUUGCUUUGCAACUUGAACUAUUUUGAUGCGUGAUUUCCGUAGGAAUGUGCAACCGUGGUAGUAUCAAUUAUCCUCAAGUCCAACAGAAAUUUCACCUUAACUUCUAUUUGCAUACAAGCCAAUUGUUUGUGGAUCUCUUUUUCUUCUGAGAUUAAUCAUGAUUUGUGGGUCAAUACUCAGGAAAUGUUUAUGUCAAAUAAUAAAAUGUAUAAUGGUAAUUAUUCUUGGUAUAAAGGAUGAAAAUAAAGAACUGAAAAAGAAUAAGGAAGACAAUAUUUAGACUACAUGGGAGUAAGAACCUUUUACAUUUACAUGCUUGGACCAUUUCGCAUAUUAGAAUUGCAUUGAGAGUUGAUAAAAGUGCACAUAAAUCCUACGCUGAGAAUUUUAAAAAUUAAUUGAAGAGUGCCCAUGUCAUAGUUCUUUCAUGUUUUAAAAGGUAGAAUAGGGGUGUGCUGCAAUUUUGAAAAGCUGAAAGACAAAAAGUGGAAGAACAAUGCUCCACAAGAAUGCUCAAAGAAUUCUUCCUUCAAUAGUCUUCACAUAAGCAAUAAACAAGACACAUCCUUAUGACCGAUUAGGCUCUUACUGAUACAAUUUUGCAGGUGGUGGUUCCUUUUAGGUAUCAGAUAUUCUCGAUAAUUUGACUUUUUCUUUUUGGAAUUUCGGAAGAUUCAAGUGACCAAAUUAAUGAUGCUAUUGAAAGGGUCCUAAGAGUUAAGUUUGUUGCUGGAGCUUUUGAGUACCCUCCGAGUUAUAAGUCAUUGUUGGAUAUUGUUUGUUGUGAAGUAUGUUUAUAUUGUCUCUUGUCAUCUGUAACUUUAUUUCCUUUCCUCUAUCUUAUUUUGUUGAAUUCUUUAACUGAACUUGAGAAUUCAAUAAAGAACUAGAUCGAGGAACUCCAAAUUGCUUAAAAUGAAACUGAAAAUCCUCUCAAGGAAGAGCAAACUGAAUAUAGAGGUUUACAUCUUCUUUUAGAUUAGACUUCUGGUUGCUCUUAGUUUCAUGAGAAACAUUAGGAAUUCAUUAUCUGCUGCAAGAUAAAAGUCAAUUACAGUUACAUGCUCUUUUCUUUCCAGUUAGUUAGAGCUGCAUGUUCUUUUUAUGCUUUGUACCUGCGAUUAGAUUUAGACAUGGAUUUGAAUAAUGUCCUCUAGCUCUAUUACAGAACACAUUUAUAUGAUUUUUUUACUUGCUUCUAAUAGUUUUCAAGCUUCUAUUACCUUCUGGUAUGUUGCAUGCUUGGAUUAAAUUUACUUGGACUGUGAAAGAUUAUUGUUUCCAUUUGUUGUAUCAUAAUUAAAACAAAUUUUAUAAGGAUGCUUAAUAACAAAGAUUGGUAGAUACGUUUUAGACUUUUAGUUGAUUUGGACUGUGAAGGAACCAAACUUAUGUUCAAACUUAAGUUGAGACAGUACCUUAUAUUGGGCAUCUAACAAUAAAUAGUUUUAUAUACUUGAGAGAUAGACGACUCAAACUAGGUUGUGAAGUGUUUCAUAAUAACCGAUUAGAGAGGAAGAGUUGAUUGGAAACACUCUCUUCGAUUAACCAUCUAACACUUCAUAUCUGCUGCUAAUCGAGUUCAUUUUGUGGGAACGCGAUCAAGGGAUGGGUUUUUCUAUCCACAAUUGAUUUACUUCCUGAAAAAUCUUCUAAUGAGCUAAGGUGGCAGAAAGCACAAC